GACUGCUGGAGAAUUUCUGUUUGGAGCAUUGGAAAAAAAUGCAAACUCAAGGCUUGGGUGGUUUUCAGGCUGUGUGUCUACAUUCCUGCACAGCAAUGGGAGUAAGCUGAGGAAAAGGGAGUUAUCAGAAAGCACGGACUACAGGAAUGUCUCGCCUGACACCUGCCCCCAAACGGUGGAAGAAGGGAUUCACUUUUAUGCUGUAGACUCCUACAUUCAACUGAACAUAACUCAGCCUCAGAACAUCAUAGAAACGUUCGGACUGACCUUCAAGACUAAGGAAGAGUCUGGACUGCUUUUUAUCACU